UAAGGAAUAUUGGUCAAUGGACGCAAGUCUGAACCAGCCAUGCCGCGUGAAGGAUGAAGGUCCUCUGGAUUGUAAACUUCUUUUAUAUGGGACGAAACCUGGGAAUUCCUUCCCAAUUGACGGUACCAUAGGAAUAAGCACCGGCUAACUCCGUGCCAGCAGCCGCGGUAAUACGGAGGGUGCAAGCGUUAUCCGGAUUCACUGGGUUUAAAGGGUGCGUAGGAGGACAGGUAAGUCCGUGGUGAAAUCUCCGAGCUUAACUCGGAAACUGCCGUGGAUACUCUCUGUCUUGAAUAUCGUGGAGGUGAGCGGAAUAUGUCAUGUAGCGGUGAAAUGCUUAGAUAUGACAUAGAACACCAAUUGCGAAGGCAGCUCGCUACACGAAUAUUGACUCUGAGGCACGAAAGCGUGGGGAUCAAA
rnacentral:rRNA from 1 species